UGGGGAAUUUUCCGCAGUGGGCGAAGGCCUGACGGAGCAAGACCGCGUGAGGGAGGAAGGCCUUUGGGUUGUAAACCUCUUUUCUCAGGGAAGAAGAAAGUGACGGUACCUGAGGAAUCAGCCUCGGCUAACUCCGUGCCAGCAGCCGCGGUAAUACGGAGGAGGCAAGCGUUGUCCGGAAUUAUUGGGCGUAAAGAGCGUGUAGGCGGCCCGGUAAGUCUGCCGUGAAAACCUGGGGCUCAACCCCGGGCGUGCGGUGGAUACUGCUGGGCUAGAGGAUGGUAGAGGCGAGUGGAAUUCCCGGUGUAGCGGUGAAAUGCGCAGAGAUCGGGAGGAACACCAGUAGCGAAGGCGGCUCGCUGGGCCAUUCCUGACGCUGAGACGCGAAAGCUAGGGGAGCGAACAGGAUUAGAUACCCCCGUAGUCC
rnacentral:rRNA from 1 species